rnacentral:rRNA from 1 species
GAUGAACGCUGGCGGCGUGCUUAACACAUGCAAGUCGAACGGUGAACGAGGAAGCUUGCUCCCUCCGGAUCAGUGGCGAACGGGUGAGUAACACGUGAGCAAUCUGCCCCGAACUCUGGGAUAAGCGCUGGAAACGGCGUCUAAUACCGGAUACGACGCGCGAAGGCAUCUUCUGCGCGUGGAAAGAAUUUCGGUUCGGGAUGAGCUCGCGGCCUAUCAGCUAGUUGGUGAGGUAACGGCUCACCAAGGCGACGACGGGUAGCCGGCCUGAGAGGGUGACCGGCCACACUGGGACUGAGACACGGCCCAGACUCCUACGGGAGGCAGCAGUGGGGAAUAUUGCACAAUGGGCGCAAGCCUGAUGCAGCAACGCCGCGUGAGGGACGACGGCCUUCGGGUUGUAAACCUCUUUUAGUAGGGAAGAAGCGAAAGUGACGGUACCUGCAGAAAAAGCACCGGCUAACUACGUGCCAGCAGCCGCCGUAACAC